AUUGAACGCUGGCGGCAUGCUUUACACAUGCAAGUCGAACGGCAGCGGAGAGUGCUUGCACUCUGCCGGCGAGUGGCGAACGGGUGAUUAACAUAUUGGAACGUACCGAGUAAAGGGGGAUAACUAUCCGAAAGGAUAGCUAAUACCGCAUACGCUUUGCGCAGUAAAGUGGGGGAUCUUCGGACCUCACGUUAUUCGAGCGGCCAAGAUCUGAUUAGCUAGUUGGUGGGGUAAUGGCCUACCAAGGCGACGAUCAGUAGCGGGUCUGAGAGGCCGAUCCGCCACACUGGGACUGAGACACGGCCCAGACUCCUACGGGAGGCAGCAGUGGGGAAUCUUGGACAAUGGGCGAAAGCCUGAUCCAGCAAUGCCGCGUGUAUGAAGAAGGCCUUCGGGUUGUAAAGGACUUUUGUUAGGGAAGAAAAGAAAUGGGUUAAUACCCCAUUUUGAUGACGGUACCUAAAGAAUAAGCACCGGCUAACUACGUG
rnacentral:rRNA from 1 species